AUUGAACGCUGGCGGCAUGCCUUACACAUGCAAGUCGAACGGUAGCAGGGGCUUCGGCCCGCUGACGAGUGGCGAACGGGUGAGUAAUACAUCGGAAUGUACCCAGUAGUGGGGGAUAGCUCGGCGAAAGCCGGAUUAAUACCGCAUACGCACUACGGUGGAAAGCGGGGGACCUUCGGGCCUCGCGCUAUUGGAGCAGCCGAUGUCAGAUUAGCUAGUUGGUGGGGUAAAGGCCUACCAAGGCGACGAUCUGUAACCGGUUUGAGAGGACGACCAGUCACACUGGGACUGAGACACGGCCCAGACUCCUACGGGAGGCAGCAGUGGGGAAUAUUGGACAAUGGGCGCAAGCCUGAUCCAGCAAUGCCGCGUGUGUGAAGAAGGCCUGCGGGUUGUAAAGCACUUUCAGUGGGGAAGAACAGAUUCGGGUCAAUACCCCGGAGCCCUGACGUUACCCACAGAAGAAGCACCGGCUAACUCCGUGCCAGCAGCCGCGGU
rnacentral:rRNA from 1 species